AUUGAACGCUGGCGGCAGGCCUAACACAUGCAAGUCGAACGAGUGGCGGACGGGUGAGUAAUGUCUGGGAAACUGCCCGAUGGAGGGGGAUAACUACUGGAAACGGUAGCUAAUACCGCAUACCAUCGGAUGUGCCCAGAUGGGAUGAGCUAGUAGGUGGGGUAACGGCUCACCUAGGCGACGAUCCCUAGCUGGUCUGAGAGGAUGACCAGCCACACUGGGACUGAGACACGGCCAAGACUCCGACGGGAGGCAGCAGUGGGUAAUAUUGCACAAUGGGCGAAAGCCUGAUGCAGCCAUGCCGCGUGAAGGAAGAAGGCGUUCGGAUUGUAAAGGACUUUCAGUGGGGAGGCGUUACCCACAGAGAAAGCACCGGCUAACUCCGUGCCAGCAGCCGCGGUAAUAC
rnacentral:rRNA from 1 species